rnacentral:lncRNA from 1 species
GGCCAAAUAGGCAUGUUGUUUGUGUGAUCAUUCUCUAUUGUAUUAAUGUGAAUUUUUUUCAUUGUAGUGCAUUUUUCGCAUGAUAUAUUUCUUUUCUAUGUUGAAUUUAUUUAAUUAAGUUUUGUAAGUUUCUGUGUCCCUUUCACCACAUACUCCUUGGAAAAGAAAAAGAAAAAUAGGGACCAACCUAUAACAUAGAGAAGAAAUAAAAAAAGGAAAUUAGAAAUGAACAUAACCAAAAACUAAAUUAAUGAAAUAAAAUAGUAAAUGUUUUUUUUAACUUAUAUAGAAACUCUAAAAUCAUGAUGUAGGAGUACCUCUGUGUUUUUGUGAUUUUCUCCUUUUACUCUUUAAUCGUCUCUUUGGUUACAAAUCUGCACUAUAAAAAAAUAUACAAUUCUUUGCAAUCGGCAUUGGUCGUAUGUCACAAAUUUUGAUUUGAAACCAACUCGUAUAAAAUAUGUAAAAUCUG